CAGUAGCCGCGGUAAUACGAAGGGUGCAAGCGUUACUCGGAAUUACUGGGCGUAAAGCGUGCGUAGGUGGUUGUUUAAGUCUGCUGUGAAAGCCCUGGGCUCAACCUGGGAAUUGCAGUGGAUACUGGGCGACUAGAGUAAGGUAGAGGAUAGUGGAAUUUCCGGUGUAGCAGUGAAAUGCGUAGAGAUCGGAAGGAACAUCUGUGGCGAAGGCGACUAUCUGGGCCAUUACUGACACUGAGGCACGAAAGCGUGGGGAGCAAACAGGAUUAGAUACCCCCUGUAGUCCCUGUCUCUUAUU
rnacentral:rRNA from 1 species